rnacentral:rRNA from 1 species
UACGAGGGGGGCAAGCGUUGUUCGGAAUUAUUGGGCGUAAAGGGCGCGUAGGCGGUUUGGCAAGUCUGAUGUGAAAUCUCUGGGCUCAACCCAGAGUCUGCAUUAGAAACUGUCGGGCUUGAGUAUGGGAGAGGUGAGUGGAAUUUCCGGUGUAGCGGUGAAAUGCGUAGAUAUCGGAAGGAACACCUGUGGCGAAAGCGGCUCACUGGACCACAACUGACGCUGAGGCGCGAAAGCUAGGGGAGCAAACAGG